CUAAGAGAAAGGUCUCUGCCCUCAGGAAAUGUAUCGUGUGGUAUGUUGAAAGACAAUUACUAGAAAGAAGGAAAAACAGAAAGCAGGACUAUGCAGGAUUCAACGCCACAUGGUCACUGGGAAGCACUAGGAAGUCUUUCAUUGAUCCACCCAACAAACACGGAGUCCUCGCUGAUUUGGCUGCUGAAGAUAGAAAGACGAACGAAAUGUGGUCUCUGCUGGGAAGGAACUUACAAAUCCUUAAGGGAAGAGAUGUGGCAGAGAGGCUCACAGAGUUGGUGACAUUUGCUCUGAGUCUGCAAAGUCUUGAAAGGAUUGGAAAGAUUUGGAGUCAGGCUCCAUGGGCACAGUGACCUCACUCCCAAAUGAUUACAUUAGAACAAAGGUGCAUGGGGGAAAAAAUUUGUAUAAAUGUCACUGAAAUGCAUUUCACACAUUUUCUGAUUUACUCCUGACCACGCACCUUUGAGGAAGGUGCUAUUGCUAUCCCAAUUUUCCAGACGAGGACACUCAGGCUCAGAGACAUGAAG